GAAGGCGGGCUGGAAUCUCUCGGGGUUACAGCCUUGCUGAAUUAUUCACCCUUGUCUUUUGCGUACUUCUUGUUUCCUUGGUGGGUUCGCCCACCACUAGGACAAACAUAAACCUUUUGUAAUUGCAAUCAGCGUCAGUAACAAAUUAAUAAUUACAACUUUCAACAACGGAUCUCUUGGUUCUGGCAUCGAUGAAGAACGCAGCGAAAUGCGAUAAGUAGUGUGAAUUGCAGAAUUCAGUGAAUCAUCGAAUCUUUGAACGCACAUUGCGCCCUUUGGUAUUCCAAAGGGCAUGCCUGUUCGAGCGUCAUUUGUACCCUCAAGCUUUGCUUGGUGUUGGGCGUCUUGUCUCUAGCUUUGCUGGAGACUCGCCUUAAAGUAAUUGGCAGCCGGCCUACUGGUUUCGGAGCGCAUCACAAGUCGCACUCUCUAUCAGCAAAGGUCUAGCAUCCAUUAAGCCUUUUUUCAACUUUUGACCUCGGAUCAGGUAGGGAUACCCGCUGAACUUAAGCAUAUCAAUAAGCGGAGGAA
rnacentral:rRNA from 1 species